rnacentral:rRNA from 1 species
AACGUAGGUACCGAGCGUUAUCCGGAUUCACUGGGCGUAAAGCGCGUGCAGGUGGUUUGGUAAGUCGGGCAUGAAAACUCUUGGCUCAACUAAGAGACGCUGUCCGAUACUGCCAGGCUUGAGGGCAUAAGAGGGAGGUGGAAUUCCGCAUGUAGUGGUGAAAUGCGUAGAUAUGCGGAGGAACACCAGUGGCGAAGGCGGCCUCCUGGUAUGCUCCUGACACUCAGACGCGAAAGCUAGGGGAGCGAACGGG